GAAUGGCGUAGUGGUUAGUGACCCUGACUGCUACGCCAAAGGUCCCGGGUUCGAUUCCCGGCUGGAGCA
rnacentral:tRNA from 1 species